rnacentral:rRNA from 1 species
UCAUGCAACUUUGAACACACUGAUCAUGGCUGACUCUGGAAAUUAAGCAGGGUCAGGCCUGGGUAAUACUUAGAUGAGAAGCCACAAGGGAAUACUGAGUACAUAAC